rnacentral:lncRNA from 1 species
CUGUAAGGCACAUGUGGCUGAAAGGAUGAUGUAGAGGCAGAGCCCAGUGAAGACUGAACAAUGGCAGGGUCCUGUGGCAGAGUAUGCUGAGCUUUCGGAGGUUCGCAGACAGUGAUGUCUUUGAUGUCACUUCCUCGAAAAAUAAUGUAUUCAUAGAUUUCUUCCCUUGGAGGAGCAGGUCUGUCUGUGGGCCGGUCUUCAGUACCAAAGGAUCGCACCUUCGCCAAGGCCACGGUGGAGUUCUCGGUGUCGAUGGUGUAGAGGAUGCCCUCAUAGCGGAUCUGCGCCUUGGAGAUGAGGCUGAUCUUGCUGCCGAUGUAGGGGGUCCCCGAGCUCAUGGCGGCGCUCCGAGGGGCCGCGGCCGCGCGGGUGGCUGCAGCGCCCGCCCACGCACACUGCGGAGACGGGAGCCCCGCCGCGCGCGCCUUA